rnacentral:lncRNA from 7 species
UGCUGGGCCCUUGGCGCCUGGAUAUAAACCCGUCCGCCACCUUUUCCAGCCCUAUGCUUCGAGGAUUUGCGCCACGCUGGGAGUUGCCUCUGUUGAAACUGUUGAUAGGAGAGAGGGAAAGGGAAAGGGAGAGGCCAGAGGAUUGGAUCAGCCGUCGAAGUGCGAGGUGUGCGCGGGAAGCCAAGGGCGGAGUCAAGCAGGGGUGCUCCGCGGCGUUUCCCGUACGGCGGUGGUUGUAUGGGGCGUCACUGUGUCGGAGAGCCGAUGCACCGCCAUUGGCGAACCAGGGCGCUCCGUUGCACUGACCUCCCGUGGGCGGCUCUGCCCACGCUACUAUCACCGACGAGCAAGUGAUCGAG